ACACUGUAGGGGACGGCCGCCAUUUCUUUUGUAUGAUUUCUUGGUAACGCGAAGCGGGCUUUUCAACAACUUCCUCUUCGAGAACUGCGUACCUGGCUUCACGCUCCGUAGAGGUUCUACACGACUGGAGAUCCCGUGUCUGACUUGCGGCCGUGGACGAGCUCCUUGUCUGAGUAUUACUUGACCAAGAUGAGCUAUGCUAUUGUGGAGUUCACUGCCUCUAAAGAGGUUGAAAUUGUGCCAACUACUUGGGUCACCGGGAGCGUGUGCGUCUGGCCGCAUAAUGUAAAAGCAGAGAAGGCUGGGAAAAUGGCAAAGAAGCAGCAUCCACCACAGUCAUGGUGGAAGCAGUAUGAAAUUGCUGUGAAAGGUUUGUUCGUUACCUAUGAACAUGCCCGGAAAAAGCUAAAUGACAGUCAGUUCCAUUCAGACCUGGCCAGUGAAACUGAAAUGCC